AACCCACUCCAGUAUUCUUGCCUGGAGAAUCCCAUGGACAGAAGAGCCUGGCAGCCUAUGGUCCACAGACUCACAGAGAGUCAGACACGACUGAAGCGACUCAGCUCAAGCACAGCAUUGAGGUCCUCAGCUUUGGAGUCUAUCUUGACUAGUGAAUGAUGCAGUCGAAACAAAUGAUGCAUGAACUGGAGUUAUGCUGCCAUCAAAUACUGGCUUAGAUACUGGCUAUAUUGGUCUCUGAACUCCAGCUGGAAAGAAGACAGAAAAUUGGAAAUCAAAGAACAUUUUGCUGUCCUACCAAUUUAAACACAAAGUAACAGAUACAGAAGUGAAGCAAAAUAAAUGAUCAUUCACAGUAGUGAUUCUAUAAUGUGAAAUAUAUGUCUUUUAGAUCCACAUAUUCAUCUUUUUCAAUAAAGGAAAAAAAUGGAUUUUCAUUA